rnacentral:tRNA from 1 species
AAGCCUAUAGUAUAACGGUUAGUACACGCUGUUGAUAUCGGCGUAGUAGAGGUUCGAUUCCUCUUGGGCUUA